rnacentral:lncRNA from 1 species
AUGCAUUCAAGUUUGCAGGAACGCACACUAGGAAUCUGGCAUAUACUUCAUUUGACUUUUUCCCUCACCAUCCACUCAGUCCCUCAGACAUCUAAAGCCAACCCUCGCCCUCAGCUCUGCCACAGCCGGAAAAAGAUCCAAGUUCAGUUUUCAAGCAUUUGUCUCUUACAUCAUCGUCAGCCCCGUCCACUAGACUUGGAAUCAACAUCAAGGUUUAGCUCACUGUCAAUGCAAAGGAAAGAAGAGAAAAGAAAAGGCCCCAUGGUUCAUCAGGAGCAUCGUAACCAGAACCAUUCUUGGUUCCCUCUUCUGCAUCCUGGAGCAUCUCUCGGCCAUGAGACAGAAAUAUCCCAUGAAGACAGCAGAAGAAAAUAG